GACGAACGCUGGCGGCGUGCCUAAUACAUGCCAGUCGAGCGGACCAAACAGGAGCUUGCUCUUGUUUGGUUAGCGGCGGACGGGUGAGUAACACGUGGGUAACCUGCCCGUAAGACCGGGAUAACUCCGGGAAACCGGAGCUAAUACCGGAUAACACCGAAGACCGCAUGGUCUUUGGUUGAAAGGCGGCUUCGGCUGCCCCUUACGGUUGGGCCCGCGGCGCAUUAGUUGGUGGGUGAGUAAACGGGUCACCAAGGCGACGGAUCGUAGCCGGCCGGGGGGGGUGGCCGGCCACCCUGGGACUGGGACCCCGCCCCAGCUCCUUCGGGGGGCAGCAGUAGGGAAUCUUCCGCCAUGGGCGAAAGGCUGACGGGGCGACGCCGCGUGGGCGAAGAAGGUCUUCGGAUCGUAAAGCUCUGUUGUUAGGGGAGAAGAAGCGGCGUUCGAACAGGGCGGCGCGGUGACGGUACCUAACGAGAAAGCCCCGGCUAACUACGUG
rnacentral:rRNA from 1 species